rnacentral:rRNA from 1 species
AGUGAACGCUGGCGGUAGGCCUAACACAUGCAAGUCGAACGGCAGCACAGUAAGAGCUUGCUCUUACGGGUGGCGAGUGGCGGACGGGUGAGGAAUACAUCGGAAUCUACUUUUUCGUGGGGGAUAACGUAGGGAAACUUACGCUAAUACCGCAUACGACCUACGGGUGAAAGCAGGGGAUCUUCGGACCUUGCGCGAUUGAAUGAGCCGAUGUCGGAUUAGCUAGUUGGCGGGGUAAAGGCCCACCAAGGCGACGAUCCGUAGCUGGUCUGAGAGGAUGAUCAGCCACACUGGAACUGGGACACGGUCCAGACUCCUACGGGAGGCAGCAGUGGGGAAUGUUGGACAAUGGGCGCAAGCCUGAUCCAGCCAUCCCGCGUGGGUGAAGAAGGCCUUCGGGUUGUAAAGCCCUUUUGUUGGGAAAGAAAAGCAGCAGGUUAAUACCCCGCUGUUCUGACGGUACCCGAAGAAUAAGCACCGGCUAACUUCGUG